rnacentral:tRNA from 3 species
GGGGCUAUAGCGCAGCUGGUAGCGCAUCUGCUUUGCAAGCAGAGGGUCGCCGGUUCGAACCCGGCUAGCUCCACUA